rnacentral:rRNA from 1 species
UACGGAGGGUGCAAGCGUUGUUCGGAAUUAUUGGGCGUAAAGCGCGUGUAGGCGGUUUUUUAAGUCUGAUGUGAAAGCCCCGGGCUCAACCUGGGAAGUGCAUUGGAAACUGGGAAACUUGAGUACGGGAGAGGGUAGUGGAAUUCCUAGUGUAGGAGUGAAAUCCGUAGAUAUUAGGAGGAACACCGGUGGCGAAGGCGGCUACCUGGACCGAUACUGACGCUGAGACGCGAAAGCGUGGGGAG